rnacentral:lncRNA from 1 species
CAAGCAGCCACUUUAGAAUUUUGUGCUUUGGGGUUUUUUUAGUUAGUUAGUCUCUUUGCUGAGAAGUAUGCAAUCUUGGGACAUGAAAUACAGUAUCAGAGGGUGAACAAGCUUUGGAGGCCAUUUCUAGCAUCCCACUUCCUUUGGAACAAAAUCUCCUUUCCACACUGUUAUUGGCUCCAACCACAGACAAUUCAUACCUGAAUCCCUACAUUUUUUUCCACAUCUGAAGUCUUGGGUUUAAUUCUGGGAGACACAUUUCAUUUGCAAACCAAUAACCUGGAGGAUUAAGUGAACCAAAUGUCUGGAGAAGGAUAACCAGAACAGCAAGGGAAUGGGCAAAUAUUCCAUAUGAAGAGCAAUUGGAGGAACUAGAUAUGUUUAUUUUGGUGAGAGACCUUCAAAAUUCCCCAUUACAUAAGAGAUCAAGUAUGUUCAUCAGCCUGAUAUUUAAAGUUUCCUACAGAUAUAGCCACAGCAUCAGAGACACAGAAAUAAAAGGAAUCUCAGAAGGAAGCCAGAAAGGCAUCCCAAGGAAGAGAGACAACCUGUACAAAAACACAGAGAUAUAAAAUGGAAUAUUUUUUGCGAGAAGGAGCAAGGAGGUCAACAUUUGGCCAUACCUUAGAGUGUGUGAACAGGAGCAAUGUGUA